CGCCUCCUGAUAAACAUAGGAGGUCCAGCCUGCCCAGUGACAACGUUCAACGGCCGCGGUACCCUAACCGUGCGAAGGUAGCAUAAUCACUUGUUCUUUAAAUGGGGACUCGUAUCAAAGGCACCACGAGGACUAUACUGUCUCCCCUCUCCAAUCAGUGAAACUGAUCCCCCCGUGAAGAAGCGGGGAUUCAACUAUAAGACGAGAAGACCCCAUGGAGCUUUAGACUUAAUAUACACCCUUGCACAACAUAACAGUAAAGCUAUUAAGAUAUGUAUAUUGUCUUCGGUUGGGGGGACCGCGGAGUAAAACUUAACCUCCACGACAAACGGGUUAACACCCUUAUCCAAGAAACACAUUUCUAAGAGUCAAUAAAUUGUUGUUUAUGACCCAUUUUAUGAUUAACGAACCAAGUUACCCUGGGGAUAACAGCGCAAUCUACUUCAAGAGCCCCUAUCGACAAGUAGGUUUACGACCUCGAUGUUGGAUCAGGGAAUCCCAGUGGCGCAACCGCUACUAAUGGCUCGUUUGUUCAACGAUUAAACCCU
rnacentral:rRNA from 1 species